GCGCACGGGUGAGUAACGCGUAUGCAACCUGCCUAUAAGAGGGGGAUAGCCUUUCGAAAGAAAGAUUAAUACCGCAUAAUACUGUUGACCUGCAUGGGUUGACAGUUAAACUAUUUGGCUUAUAGAUGGGCAUGCGUUCCAUUAGAUAGUUGGUGAGGUAACGGCUCACCAAGUCAGCGAUGGAUAGGGGUUCUGAGAGGAAGGUCCCCCACACUGGUACUGAGACACGGACCAGACUCCUACGGGAGGCAGCAGUGAGGAAUAUUGGUCAAUGGGCGAGAGCCUGAACCAGCCAAGUCGCGUGAAGGAUGAAGGUCUUAUGGAUUGUAAACUUCUUUUAUAAGGGAAUAAAAAAGAUCACGUGUGGUUUAUUGCAUGUACCUUAUGAAUAAGCAUCGGCUAACUCCGUGCCAGCAGCCGCGGUAAUACGGAGGAUGCGAGCGUUAUCCGGGUUUAUUGGGUUUAAAGGGUGCGUAGGCGGUUUAUUAAGUCAGUGGUGAAAGUUUUCGGCUCAACCGGAAAAUUGCCAUUGAAACUGAUAGACUUGAGUGUAAACGAGGUAGGCGGAAUUCGUGGUGUAGCGGUGAAAUGCUUAGAUAUCACGAAGAACUCCAAUUGCGAAAGCAGCUUACUAGGCUACAACUGACGCUGAAGCACGAAAGCGUGGGGAUCAAACAGGAUUAGAUACCCUGGUAGUCCACGCAGUAAACGAUGAUAACUAGCUGUU
rnacentral:rRNA from 1 species